rnacentral:rRNA from 1 species
CACGUAGGGCGCGAGCGUUGUCCGGAAUUAUUGGGCGUAAAGAGCUCGUAGGCGGUUUGUCGCGUCUGCCGUGAAAGUCCGGGGCUCAACUCCGGAUCUGCGGUGGGUACGGGCAGACUAGAGUGUGGUAGGGGAGACUGGAAUUCCUGGUGUAGCGGUGAAAUGCGCAGAUAUCAGGAGGAACACCGAUGGCGAAGGCAGGUCUCUGGGCCACUACUGACGCUGAGAAGCGAAAGCAUGGGGAGCGAACAGG